rnacentral:rRNA from 1 species
UACGGGGGGAGCAAGCGUUGUUCGGAUUUACUGGGCGUAAAGGGCGCGUAGGCGGCGUGACAAGUCACUUGUGAAAUCUCCGGGCUUAACUCGGAACGGUCAAGUGAUACUGUCGUGCUAGAGUACAGAAGGGGCAACUGGAAUUCUCGGUGUAGCGGUGAAAUUCGUAGAUAUCAGGAGGAACACCGAUGGCGAAGGCAGCUCGCUGGGACGGUACUGACGCUGAGGCGCGAAAGCGUGGGGAGCAAACAGG